AUCCAGACAGGUAUCACUUUUUAUUUUUAAACAAGCCAGGAGGUGGAAAUGUUAAAGACCCGUGCCAUCUCAAAUCCCCGGGUCUGAAUACUUCGUCUGUCACGACUGUCACUGGGAAUCCACAGGAGGUGAACUGAAUAAGAUUAGACUAUUUACCCCAUCAACCUUCCAUCAAAGAAGGUGAAAGCAGCACCGCGGGGCAAGAGUGGGCAUCGGUGGGGGAGCUGCGGCACCCCCGGGGGCAUCCGCGGCACCCCCGCGGCACGUACCGCCCGGGCUGUGCCGAACCGCUCGGCUUCCCAACGAGAUUUUUCCAUCGGGAAUGUUCUGCUGAAGGAUGA